AUCCGAGUGCUGGAAUUGGUAGACAGGACGAACUUAAGCUUCGUUGAUAUAUAAUCAUAAAGGUUCGAUUCCUUUUUCGGAUA